GGUGGCUCAGUGGUAGAGAGUGCUUGCCUUGCAUGCAUGAGGUCCUGGGUUCGAUUCCUCAGCACCA
rnacentral:tRNA from 1 species